rnacentral:lncRNA from 1 species
CUUUGUUGUGUAGGAGUCAUAUUAAUAGUCCUUGGUAGAGUGCCAGACAUACCUAGAGUGGCCCCUAUAACUCCAAUCAGGAACCAAACAAGUUGAUGAGAGUAGCCUGGUCACAGCUGUUGCCUAUAGCUCUGACUAGGUCCCUCUUCCUCUCCGAGACCAGCCAGAGUCAGUUUAUAUAAGGGAGAGGAGGAGGUGAGAGGCUGAUGUCUCCUAAGCUGGCCUUCCUUCUGCUAUGCCAGCGAAGAGAGCCUCUUAACAGGAAAAAGAACAGCUUGUUGCAAUACCUCAUGAGAACGAACUAAAGAAUAAUCAUAAAGACCUGAAAAACCGAGGAGAGUUGGAAUAUAACCCUUUGGAAAGAAAUCCUUUGUCUUAUUCCAGAAGAAAACAAAACACCAGUGCAUGGCAUCCUAACGGCAUAUCAGAUCUAAUAUUAUCCAUGAUGGCCUUUUACUUCUCUGAGACAUACACUCAGAUCUGCAGAUGUGAAAUUAAUUGGAUAAAGUCACUUGAGAAAAUCCUAGAAAAAUGGAGAAGAUGUGAACACUGAAAUGCUUUGAUUCGAUUGAAGGAAUCUGGUUCUCUCAUGAUGCCUCUAAAUAUUACCCAAAGGAAGAAUUGUUCCAUCUGACGAGAAGCUUUUGGACUUCUUACGACAAGCUGCAUGACCAAUGAAUGACACUGAAUUUAAAGAAUUCUCAGAUCAAAGAAGAUUAUAUCAGUCUGGACUGGUAAUAUGAAAGAGAGUCAUGACUUAGAAUCCUCAGACUGGUUAACCUAUAAGAAUGAUACUCAUUAAAAAUAUAUAUAUAUACAUAUAUGUAAAAUAUUUUAUAUAACAUUAUGACAUCCAUAUAAUAAUAUAGAGUAGGGAG